AAAAAUCACAAACUAUAUACCAAAAUGCUCCUUAAGGUGUCUAGUACACACAUGUAAAAUUUCAAGAAUUUCCAAUUAAGCAUCAUCAUUUCAUGAUCAAAAGAGUAAGCAUGGUGCAAGAAAUGACAUGUGAAAAUAAACCCUAAGCAAAUAUUUUUUUCCUCCGUGCACAAAUUCAUUAAAAAUCAUCAAAAAAUAAAGGACAUCACAAGGAGCAUGGCAUAAAAAAUUGCAUGUUAUUUGGAUUUAUAUUGAAUGAGUUAUGAUUUUUUGAUUGUGAAAGAAAAAUAAAAAAAA
rnacentral:lncRNA from 1 species